AUUGAACGCUGGCGGCAUGCUUAACACAUGCAAGUUGAACGGUAACGAUGGCAAGCUUGCUUGCCAGGCGACGAGUAGCGGACGGGUGAGUAAUGCAUAGGAAUCUGCCCAGUAGCGGGGGACAACGUGGUGAAAACCACGCUAAUACCGCAUACGCCCUACGGGGGAAAGCGGAGGAUCUUCGGACUUCGCACUAUUGGAUGAGCCUAUGUCGGAUUAGCUUGUUGGUGGGGUAAUGGCCUACCAAGGCAACGAUCUGUAGCUGGUCUGAGAGGACGAUCAGCCACACUGGGACUGAGACACGGCCCAG
rnacentral:rRNA from 1 species